AUGGGCACCAGUUUUUCUGUGGGGGACAUGUGUCACAUUUUCUCACUUUGGUUUCACACGAAGCUCUUCCCUGACCGCUCUCUCCCCACCACAACAUUUCAUGGUGUGCUGGCUGCUGCUUCAGCGAACUCCCCUACCAUCUGGCUCCUUGACAGGAAUUCCCCACUGAGCUGCACUCUUCAUAGUUGUGUAAUUUUCCGCAUUUGUGUGGCUGUAACCUCUGACAAGUUUAGGAGUCCAUGUGUGCACGUAGGGAGCUUCUUUAUCUCCACCGGGACCCAACACAGGGUUUCCUUAAAGCGGAGGCAGAAGCUCAGAGUGAACUAUGUUCUACGUUUCGAAAGAAGAAAUGAAUUUGGCAACUGGUACAGUUGCGCCCGCAGGAGGGCGUGA
rnacentral:lncRNA from 1 species